ensembl:misc_RNA Gm25557 predicted gene, 25557
GUAUAGGUCAGUUUUUGUAAAAUCUGUUACCUCACAUUACCAAGGUCAUUCCACUGAUCUAGCUGGCUAGAUAACUGUCCCCCUUUCCCUUGACACUCUAUCUACAACCUUCUCCAAUAUGUAGUCUGACUAAAAGGCUAAACUUUGCCCAAAGAAGAAGCCCUUUCUUGGGUCAAGGGUAUAUUAGUAGCUGCACUCCCAUGCUACUAGACCAUCCAAACAAGCCCUCAAGGUCCACUUGAGAACAAAGGGUGGUCAAGCAUCCAGUCCUCUGAACACAUCCAAAGGAGACCCUGUGUGAAGAAGUCUAUCUUU